rnacentral:rRNA from 1 species
UUAAACUGAAGAGUUUGAUCAUGGCUCAGAUUGAACGCUGGCGGCAGGCCUAACACAUGCAAGUCGAGCGGUAACA